rnacentral:rRNA from 1 species
CCUACGGGAGGCUGCAGUGGGGAAUAUUGGACAAUGGGCGGAAGCCUGAUCCAGCCAUGCCGCGUGUGUGAAGUAGGCCUUCGGGUUGUAAAGCACUUUUGUUGGGGAAGAAAUGAUCCGGGUUAAUAACCCGGGUUCAUGAGGGUACCCAAAGAAUAAGCACCGGCUAACUUCGUGCCAGCAGCCGCGGUAAUACGAAGGGUGGAAGCGUUACUCGGAAUUACUGGGCGUAUAGCGUGCGUAGGCGGUUUGUUAAGUCUGUGGUGAAAGCCCGGGGCUCAACCUGGGAAUGGCGGUGGAUACUGGCAGGCUAGAGUACGGUAGAGGAUGGUGGAAUUCCCGGUGUAGCAGUGAAAUGCGUUGAGAACGGGAGGAACAUCUAUGGCGAAGGCAGCCAUCUGGACCAGUACUGACGCUGAGGCACGAAAGCGUGGGGAGCAAACAGGAUUAGAUACCCUGGAAGUCCACCCCCUAAACGAUGCGCAUUAGACCGAUGCAGGACUGACCCUGUAUUGGUCGAAGAGAAAUAGAUAAAUGCGCCG